GAUGAACGCUGGCGGCGUGCCUAAUACAUGCAAGUCGAACGAAACUUCUUUAUCACCGAGUGCUUGCACUCACCGAUAAAGAGUUGAGUGGCGAACGGGUGAGUAGCACGUGGGCAACCUGCCCAAAAGAGGGGGAUAACACUUGGAAACAGGUGCUAAUACCGCAUAACCAUAGUUACCGCAUGGUAACUAUGUAAAAGGUUGCUAUACUACCGCUUUUGGAUGGGCCCGCGGCGCAUUAGCUAGUUGGUAGGGUAAAGGCUUACCAAGGCAAUGAUGCGUAGCCGAAUUGAGAGGUUGAUCGGCCACAUUGGGACUGAGACACGGCCCAAACUCCUACGGGAGGCAGCAGUAGGGAAUCUUCCGCAAUGGGCGAAAGCCUGAUGGAGCAACGCCGCGUGGGUGAAGAAGGUCUUCGGAUCGUAAAACCCUGUUGUUAGAGAAGAAAGUGCGUGAGAGUAACUGUUCACGUUUCGACGGUAUCUAACCAGAAAGCCACGGCUAACUACGUG
rnacentral:rRNA from 1 species